GCGUUUGUGGUUUAGUGGUAAAAUCCAUCGUUGCCAAAAGAUGUCUAACAACAUCUCCAGCAUCGAUGGGCCCCGGGUUCGAUUCCCGGCGAACGCA